rnacentral:rRNA from 1 species
AGAGUUUGAUUAUGGCUCAGAACGAACGCUGGCGGCAUGCUUAAACACAUGCAAGUCGAACGAUCUCUUCGGAGAUAGUGGCGGACGGGUGAGUAACGCGUGGGAACCUGCCCCGAGGUACGGAAUAACUCAUGGAAACGUGAGCUAAUACCGUAUGUGACCUGAGGGUGAAAGAUUUAUCGCCUUGGGAGGGGCCCGCGUCGGAUUAGGUAGUUGGUGGGGUAAUGGCCUACCAAGCCUGCGAUCCGUAGCUGGUCUGAGAGGAUGAUCAGCCACACUGGAACUUAGACACGGUCCAGACUCCUACGGGAGGCAGCAGUGGGGAAUAUUGGACAAUGGGGGCAACCCUGAUCCAGCAAUGCCGCGUGCGUGAUGAAGGCCUUAGGGUUGUAAAGCGCUUUCGGCGGGGAAGAUGAUGACGGUACCCGCAGAAGAAGCCCCGGCUAACUCCGUGCCAGCAGCCGCGGUAAUACGGAGGGGGCUAGCGUUGUUCGGAAUUACUGGGCGUAAAGGGCGCGUAGGCGGCGAUUUAAGUUAGGCGUGAAAGCCCCGGGCUUAACCUGGGAACUGCGCUUGAUACUGGAUUGCUUGAGGACGGAAGAGGGUAGUGGAAUUCCCAGUGUAGAGGUGAAAUUCGUAGAUAUUGGGAAGAACACCAGUGGCGAAGGCGACUACCUGGUCCGUUUCUGACGCUGAGGCGCGAAAGCGUGGGGAGCAAACAGGAUUAGAUACCCUGGUAGUC